rnacentral:tRNA from 1 species
CGUCUGCGAUUUCGAGAGGCAGAAUUUUCCGCUCUUAACGGACAAGGUCUCGGUUCGAGCCCGAGGCGGACGACCA